rnacentral:lncRNA from 1 species
CUAGAUGUUCUUCACUUCCACAUGUAAAACAAGCUAGCCUAUUUUUGUAAAUUAUGUUAUUAUUAUGUUUUCUUACAUGUCCAUCUUUAUUUAGAUAAGGCUUUCUAGCCGUUGAUUUUCUUAGAUAGUACUUUUUCCUAGGUUUGUAUUCUUGGGUAUUUUGAUAUGUCUUUUUGUAUUUUCUUUUUGGUGUACUUUGAUCAUAACUUUGUGUUGUAUAUAUAUUCUUACAAAAA